rnacentral:tRNA from 4 species
AGUCACGUGGUCUAAUGGUUAUGAUUUCUCGUUCACAUCAAGUGAGUUUCUCCUCUACUGAGGCGCCGAGAAGGUUCCCGGUUCGAUCCCGGGCGUGACUA